AGGGCUAUUCCUCCACGGCACGGUGGAGGAGUUCUGAAGUCCUAAAGUUGGGGCAGGACCUGCAGCAUGGUCGGAGAAGGGGCAAGAGGCCCGGCGGGAAGAAGCAGCAAGAGUAAGACAAGUCGUGGAAUUAAGGGAAGAAGCAGAAAAGUUCUAGAAGAGGACUGGAGAAGUAGAAGGACUACAGACCCCAUGAUGCACAUGGAAAUGGACGUAAAUCUGCACCACUUGUUCCGGGGCAUGCGCAUGUGUAAGCGCACAAUAAUCUCUUAAGAAUUAAAGAAACCUUGUA
rnacentral:lncRNA from 1 species